rnacentral:rRNA from 1 species
GCCGAGCGUCGGCCUAGUCUCAACGAUGAUGCAUACAUGUCCACUAUGGGUGUUGGGUCCAACAAUUCGCAUUGGUCUCAAACCAAUGACAUCCAUUUCGAAGACCAUGAGUUUGAGGUGGACGAGGAGGGUGAGGGAAUUGUCGAGGCGCUGAAAGGAAGAGCGGGCAAUUACUCAACCAACGAUGACAAGUUACUAUGCCAUACUUAUUUGCAAGUGUCGAGGGAUCCAUCCAUUGGAGGUGAUCAAAGUAGAGACGCGUAUUGGGGGCGAAUGAAAGAACACUUUGAUGCUCACAACUUGAGUGGAAUUGACCGCUCCGAGAGAUCACUUCGGUCCCGAUGGUCGACAAUCAACUCGGAUUGUCAAAAAUGGGCGGCCGUACAAAUGGUAGUUGACAAGAUUAACCCAAGUGGCACAAAUAAGGAUGAUCGAGUAAGUGGCAUCUCAUAUAUGUUCAUCAUACUUGUUUUUGGUGACCGAAGUGCUAACUUAUUUUGUUUUUCUUGUAGUACAACAUUGCACAAAACUUGUUCAAAGAAGAGACAAGGACAACCAAGAAGGGGAAGAUCAAGAAAGGCAGGGUCUUUACCUUGCCUCAUUGCUAUGAAGUGUUAA